rnacentral:lncRNA from 1 species
GCAUUUCCUGGAAUUCUGGACCCGGCGUCCUCGCCCGCCGACCCGAAAACUACGGCCCCGCGGCGCCCGACCGGACCCACCUGUGGGCGCGCGCUCCAGCCGCCUCGCUGGGCGCUGCCUUCCCCCCGGCUCCUCCAGCAACUUUCAAGCGUCCCCCUGCAGUCUGGGCGCUGCUGUGCGCCAGGCCCAAGCUAGAAGCGGGGACCCCGGGAGCAUCGCAAGCCUCGAGCGGCGUGCCUUCCACCGGAUAGACGGACGCUCGUCGCAGAAACACACACCAUAAUUGUAUAGUUAAGGAACUUUCGAGGGGGGCCAGCCGUGGCCUGCAGAACCUGCAGGAGUUCAUCAGGGGUGGGUGGGGGUGGAGAGGACAUUCUACGUGAGAGACUCCAGGGAGCUGGGAGUGAAAGGAGGCGAGGAAGGCUGGAGCUCGGAGGGAGGGAGAACACAGACAGUCCCCUCCUGGGCAUUCACCUUUAAGAAACCCGCCCAGGCGCAGCCAGAGACCUGUGCAGAAUGUUCACACCAGCGCUAUUCCGAAUAACAGGAACAUUGGAAACACCCUCAAAUGCCCCUCCACGGGCGAGUGGGCAAAUAAACCGGAAUAUUCACACCAUGAAACGUUAGACAGCAGUGAAACGGAAUGAACUUCAGCCAGACAACAACAGAAACAAUGUCUCAGAAACAAUGUUGAGUGAAAAAAACUAAGUUGCGGAAAACUGCAUACAAUGGUGCAACUUUUAGAAUGUGUAAAAGCAAAACCAAAAGUAUGUAUGUUUAGACACAUGCAUCGGUGGAAAAAAUGUAAAGCAAGGGAAAGAUGAGCAUAGAUACGAGAAGAGUGGUUAUCUCAGGUGAAAGGGAAGGAGCCGGGAGGAGGUAAGGACGGAGGGAAAUAACACGCGG